UGGGGAAUAUUGCACAAUGGGGGAAACCCUGAUGCAGCGACGCCGCGUGAGUGAAGAAGUAUUUCGGUAUGUAAAGCUCUAUCAGCAGGGAAGAAAAUGACGGUACCUGACUAAGAAGCCCCGGCUAACUACGUGCCAGCAGCCGCGGUAAUACGUAGGGGGCAAGCGUUAUCCGGAUUUACUGGGUGUAAAGGGAGCGUAGACGGCAAAGCAAGUCUGAAGUGAAAGCCCGGGGCUUAACCUCGGGACUGCUUUGGAAACUGUUUAGCUAGAGUGCCGGAGAGGUAAGCGGAAUUCCUAGUGUAGCGGUGAAAUGCGUAGAUAUUAGGAGGAACACCAGUGGCGAAGGCGGCUUACUGGACGGUAACUGACGUUGAGGCUCGAAAGCGUGGGGAGCAAACAGG
rnacentral:rRNA from 1 species